GAUGAACGCUGGCGGCGUGCCUAAUACAUGCAAGUCGAGCGAACGGACGAGAAGCUUGCUUCUCUGAUGUUAGCGGCGGACGGGUGAGUAACACGUGGAUAACCUACCUAUAAGACUGGGAUAACUUCGGGAAACCGGAGCUAAUACCGGAUGAUAUUUUGAACCGCAUGGUUCAAAAGUGAAAGACGGUCUUGCUGUCACUUAUAGAUGGAUCCGCGCUGCAUUAGCUAGUUGGUAAGGUAACGGCUUACCAAGGCAACGAUGCAUAGCCGACCUGAGAGGGUGAUCGGCCACACUGGAACUGAGACACGGUCCAGACUCCUACGGGAGGCAGCAGUAGGGAAUCUUCCGCAAUGGGCGAAAGCCUGACGGAGCAACGCCGCGUGAGUGAUGAAGGUCUUCGGAUCGUAAAACUCUGUUAUUAGGGAAGAACAUAUGUGUAAGUAACUGUGCACAUCUUGACGGUACCUUAUCAGAAAGCCACGGCUAACUACGUG
rnacentral:rRNA from 1 species